AUGUAAGAUGCUUCUUGGCAUCAGUAAGUUAUUUGGCUGCAGCUUAAUGACAUAUUCAGGCAAUGGUUAUAUCGUAUAAGCAUAUACAACCAGUGGAUAUACUUGCAAAACAAGCCACUGAGGUUAAUAACAACUUGCCAGCCACUCAAGAAUGAUGAUGUGUGUAUGUAGCUUGCAAGAAAGAUACUAAAAGAAGUAAUCUUUAUCCCCCUUAUCUUU